GUUGUGGGUGUCCUAUAUGGGUGUGGGAGUGGGUGCAAAGAUGAUGCCAUAAGUGGUACUAAUCUUUUCUCAUGUAAGAGUCUUUCUUUUAUAAGUAGUGGACUGAUUCAAAGCUUGUUUGAAUUAAAAGUUCUAUACUUAUUGGGUCAUGAAAAUCAUCUAUAAAUAGAGAGGAUCUCUACCUAUAGAUGCAUAGAAAUCAG
rnacentral:lncRNA from 1 species